rnacentral:rRNA from 1 species
GAUGAACGCUGGCGGCGUGCCUAAUACAUGCAAGUCGAGCGAACGGACGAGAAGCUUGCUUUUCUGAUGUUAGCGGCGGACGGGUGAGUAACACGUGGAUAACCUACCUAUAAGACUGGGAUAACUUCGGGAAACCGGAGCUAAUACCGGAUAAUAUUUUGAACCGCAUGGUUCAAAAGUGAAAGACGGUCUUGCUGUCACUUAUAGAUGGAUCCGCGCUGCAUUAGCUAGUUGGUAAGGUAACGGCUUACCAAGGCAACGAUGCAUAGCCGACCUGAGAGGGUGAUCGGCCACACUGGAACUAGGACACGGUCCAAACUCCUACGGGAGGCAGCAGUAGGGAAUCUUCCGCAAUGGGCGAAAGCCUGACGGAGCAACGCCGCGUGAGUGAUGAAGGUCUUCGGAUCGUAAAACUCUGUUAUUAGGGAAGAACAUAUGUGUAAGUAACUGUGCACAUCUUGACGGUACCUAAUCAGAAAGCCACGGCUAACUACGUG